ensembl:lncRNA
AAAAUCGACAGCUAAUUACUACCCCGAAACAUAUUCAAAUAUGAUCAUGUGUGGCACUGUUGCAAUCGCCUCGAAACGUAGAUGUCAAAGGACAACUUGUUUGCCCCGUUACGCCACCGGGUAGAUAUUUUCAUACUUCUAAUGGAUUGAUUCAUAUUUUAAGGUUCUCGGAGUGAGACUUUAAACGGCUGCAGCCGAAGUGUUGAGACGAAAGAUGAUAUCAAGACAUUUAUAGAAUAUUCCCAUUCACAUUAUGAUUCUUCGUCAUAACAUCCGACCAAACAUCCUUUACAGUCACCGAGUGAGGAUUAUGAAAGUCCAGGCCCCCCCUUCCUGCACUCGGGGUCCGACUGGGCCAAGUUUCGGUGCGGGGGUCCCAGUUAGGCCUUAAGGUGCGAACACACCAACCGCGUACCUCGCGUAUAGACGCGUAUAAAAUCGGCAAUUUUUCCAUAGGGAACCAUUGGUUUACGCGCGUACGAGGUGCGUACACGCGUAUCAUGCGUACUGUGGUAGAAAUUAGUGAGUAUAUUUUAUGGUAAACCAUGAUUAUUAAUAGGUUUUAUAUUUUUAAUUGUGGAAAGCAUUGUGCUUGCAGAAUCUGAGUUCAGAACAGAUGGUAAGCAGAAAUGUCCUGGGAACUGCGGGGUCAAGUCAUGUUGACCUCACCCUGUCAGCCCUGGGUCAUUUUGGCUAACGAGGUCAAUCCAUGCUGACCUCAGACCAGGGCGCGGUUGAUAACAUGCUGAGACGAAGAUUGACUGGGCGGAAACCCCAUUGGAACAAAGGGAACCUCCAUUGUAACAAAGAAAUUCUUGUAUGUGUGUAUGUGCAUAAAGAGGAGCUGGAGUCUAUGUUCGCCAGUGACUCUGCAAACCCACUCAGGCUGUUGUCGUUGUUGUUUUUCUUCACGAUAAAGUCUUUUUCAAUUCUUGCUCCGGACCCCUCGAUUUCUUUUACUCUCUCUCUCUUAAAUUAGUCUAAGUGUUUUAAAUCUCGAUUAAUCUACGACAUAAUUUGGCGUCACGACCAGGAGGAAAUAGGGACUCGCCAGCUGCCGGGCCAGAGGACGGGACGCGAACGGAUCAUACGACCAGAGCUCAAGGGUAAGUUGUCUUGCCAUAUAUAGGAUAGAGUCGUUUGAUCUGUUCUUGCCCCGUCUGAAUGCCGAGCAGCAGGUAAAGUGUCUCUUCGAUCAAACGAACCGAAAUUAUAGAUAAAUGAGCGAGUGAGAGAUACGGGGGCUCCGGGAGAGAUUGACGUGCGCGCGCACAUUGGCCAUUCGCGCUCUGUGGUUCUAAAUGACCAAGACGCUGUGUGGCUCCCUAUUUUUGAUACGAGUUGUUGUUAUUUGGAGUUUUGAGGUUUUGGUCAAAUAGACCUAUUAUAAAGUCCUGUGGCUGUAUUCUAGAGGAUCGAAUUAGUGGAAAAGUUCCAAUAGGACAGUACAGGUCCGCAGGUCGAUUGAAGUACCUGUUGGAUGUCUGAAGAGUAUCCCAGAGAGCCGGGUUGGAAUUCAUUGCCGUCGAUGAAUUCAUUUUUAUUUUAGAGAGGUUUGCUUGGGAUGUCGACUGGUGAAUUUCUAGAUCCGAUGUUGGCAUUUUCUGAGAAAGCAGACUCUCGCGCUUUUGAAUAGAUAAGUUUCUUGAUUGGAGUACCGUUUGAGUUGGUAUUUUGAGGAGUCUCUUGUUUGUUCGUGAUCUGGUCGAGUGUUUAUGUAUUCAGCCAUUGUUUUGGAAGAAUAGGCUUGUUGUUUGGAGUACCAUCCGACCGUUCAUAUUUUAAUCAAAAGGCCAGUUUCUACGCUCGGUCAACUUUUUAUUUGUAAUUUAUUACAAACAAUUCGGACAUUUUUAAUAAAAGAUAAAGAAAUUGUAUGAACCGGCUUAUUGUCUGUAUUUAAGUCGUGUUAGGAUUAACUCACCUCGGAGGUUUUUACGACCCUGUUCAUUUUUUGUUGUUGAUUCUGUCAUAAAUAAAUUAGGCGGACAGAGAAUAGUUAAUUUGUUUGAAGUAGUUGAUAAUCAUAAAUAAACUAGACGGAUAGAGAAUAGUCAAUUUGUUGAAGUAUUGAAUAAAUGUGUAAAUCUUCUUUGACAUCGCGCUGACUAACUGCACGUGCACGAGCAAACACACAGGGGACGAGCAGGAGCCUGCAGGCCGGGGUUAAAGAUAAUAGUGAAGGGUGGGGGCCACAUUCCAACCUUCGGGAGGGAGACGAGCGCUUGGGAAGAGUUCACAUUUGUAGCUUAGAGAUAGUAAAGUAUAGAAAAUAACUAGUAGAAUAAACUCAAAUAAAUUUUAUUAAUAAAUAGUGUACUUCACCAUAGAUAAAUAAAGUAAUAAAGAAAUAAUUAAAAAUGGCACCAACAGCGGUAGAGAUUUUGAGUAGAGACCGUCUAUUGCUCAAAGGUGAGAUGAAAAAGAUCUCUGAGAAAUGGGAAGAAAGGACAGAAGGAUCAGGCACUAUAUGGCCCAUGGAAGGGACUUUUGAUCCAAUAAUGUAUAGGGACAUGGAGGUAGUAAUAAGGAAUUACAUAGAUAACAG